UUUGGAAAGGUCCUAGGUAAUUAAAUGGUUAAAUUACAGAGACAAGACUGAGAAGCUGGUGUUUGCAUCGUGGAGGGGGUGGGGAGGGGAGGGAUGGAAACUGGUCAGGUGACUGGCUGAGGGCGUGGCCGCCCAGGAUGACGAGACACAGCACGGCCCGAGUGUUUCUUGUCUAAAAGUAAUGAGACGUUCACAUGAGAAAUUUCAGGUGGACUGUCAGGAACUGAACUGCAGUCACGUGCCUCAAACAGGCAGUAAUCAAGGAAGUCCUUUGUUGACAGCAUUUCAGCAGCUGGACGAUACACAAGGAAGGAAAACAGGAUCCCGUGGAGAUAUCACAAGACUUCUGACACCUUCAAGUAGCUGUCGCUCUUCCUUAAAGGGCUCUCUUUAAGGGACAGAAAAGGAGACAAAACAGAAGAUUAUCAAAAGCGUCUGUCGGUUUUUAUCCAAAGACAGCGAAGCCAGGGACUGUGGUACAGCCAGAAGUCACGAAAUGAUUGCACGGCCGUGCCCGGUCCUACUAGGGCACACGAUUAGCGGAUCAAUGAGCUGGUGUGAAAGUGUCCUGUGUGGUUGGUGCCUUUGCAAGGAAGAGUCACCUCCUUAAAAAAAAAAAAAAAGAAAGAAACCAUGCCCGGGAUAAUAAUGACAGCAGCCAGCACACCAUGGGCCACGCUCCGCCCCAUGUCACAGCCACUAGCGAACCUCGUCCACACCUCAGCCCUCUGAGGUAAGUCCCGUCACCAGCUCCUCGGUCUCCACAAGAAAACGCAGGUGCAGACAGCUUCAGGAACCUACUGGAACCCCACACGGGGCGGUGGGAGCGCUGGGGUUUGAGCCUCAUUCGCCUGACUCUGACGGAUGUGCCUUUCCCACCGUGCCGCGACGCCCCAGAUAAAGUUCUAAAAUCCACUGUACGUUGUACAUGCAAAAGUCUGCAGAGCUCCUUGAAGAAGAAAGUCCCAAAUUGCGUUGCUGGAAAUAACCAGGACACUUAACCGAUGCUAUGGCAAUGAGCGUUGAGGUUGCCUUUGAACUUUAGGAAGUAUAAACUUUCCCCUUUCCUGCGGGUCACUUGCAGUGAGAGCUGCAGUUCUGGCCAGGGAUUUUCGGUCACGCACACGUGUUUCUGUGGUGCACCUUCUGGAGAGAGAGCUGACGGGGCUGCCGCCUGCAGAGCACGGGAGGUGUCCCGCCACUGACUUCUCUCUGCCGCUUUCUGAUCCAAGGCUGCCGCGUCGGCCGCAUUCUGUUUACGUUGCUAAGUUACGGAAUAUUUUCCCUCGCCUCGUCCAGAAAACUGUGUUCAUUGUCCUUAAAGAUAUAAGCUACAUUCUGGAACAUCUUCGAAUAAGAUAGAACCUAAAUGUGCUGAGUGCAUCUUUCUAAAAUAAAUUCUGGUUUUUCUUCCUCUUUCAUGUAUAGUUUGGAGAGAAUCGUGUGACUCUGUAGUGAUUUGAAAGGAAAGUUCCAGACAGAUUAGAAAGUUCCAGACAGAUUAAGCAGAAAUAUACCUGUUUAGAGUCUUUGCGAGCUACACACGCACGCACACAGACUCGCACGUGCGUGUUGGGAAGAUGACUUAGAAAGGAAGAACGUUCGCACUCUGAAAGAGACGGCGAGACUGAACAGCAGACGCAUCGCCCUGACUCGGCCAGCACGUCAGGAUGGGCGGGAGGGCGAGAAUGACCUGGGCCCUCUCUGUUAACAGACGCAAGCCACCCGCUUUCAAUUCUCUUUUCAAAAAUGAAAAACCUGAGAAAACUUUCCAUUUAUUUCUUGAAGAUUCUGAAUUAAAAAAAAAAAUAGGUAAAACACAAUUACAAGUAACAGAAGGCAAGCGGAAGCCUAUAUAUUCAAAACGAUGGUUUCUUCUUGCCCCCAAAAACCUUAACACAAAAAAAUAUACGAGGUCGACUUUGGAAAUAAGCACACGCAUUUCUAUCUUUUAUGAGUUUUCCACUAUCGCAUGCAAUUAAUGGCAUCCGUCCUGCUUUUGAACAUAACACGAAUUCUCCAAAUUCCUUUCCACUUUCUCCCAAACAGCGCUGGAAGCUGCCUGAGCAGCGUCUGCUCUGUCUCAGUGGUUGGUUUUAGGAAGAUCCUUCUCGGUCUCAACGCCAAGGCCAAGACAUAGACGGAAUAACAGACGCACAGCACUGUAAUGCUGGGGCUCGCCAGGCCCCGCGACAGGCCUGGCACAGACCUCACCUGCUCCCAGCUCCCGAAGCAUCCAGGGGCCAUGUGUAUGCCCAGGUUGCCAUGGAAUAAAGCAAAACUUUAUAAAGCUGGGAUUAACGAAGAUCUUUCUGGGAAGAAAGCCCAUCAGUUUUGUUUAUUUCUUUCCCUUUUCUCCACCUCCUUCCCUUUCUGCGAGACUGGUACGAGGAUGAAAGGUGACGGCCGAUCGAAUUACUCCGUCUACGGACAGGAAGAGCGAGAGGAGAGCGUGCAGCCCGCGUGUGAUUUCUUCUUGCACGUGUUUGUGCAGUUGCUUCUGACGCCGGGACUAGCUGUGAAUCACGGCACAGAUUGGAGGACUGGAGGGUCAUUUGCAAAUUGAUGGCUACGUGUGCCCCAAUCCCAUCGUCUCUGAGAGGCCACUGGACUGGAGAUCGCCGAGUCCCGUCCUAACGCCAGCAUCUCGGCAUUUGAUGAAAGGCCACCACCACUCUUAUCCGAUUACGCAUUUGUGUGUGUAUUUAAAUCCCAGCACCCCAAGUGGAAAUUAGGAAAAUGGACUCUGAAAAGGCAAGUGGCCCUUUCUGGAUGUUUCAAUACUAAUCUACCCUCCUCAACGAAGCAAGAUUGUCACUACCUGAGGGCUGCAUGUGGAAGUGAAAAGCCGAGAAAAACAAGAAAAUCCUGAGGCACCGGCCAAUAACCCCGAGAACGAAUGCUCUAAUUUAGCUCUAAUUUGAGUUUGAGGAGAACGGAGGUGGAAUUUACGGUCCGGAACAGCGUCCGAAUCGCCUCCGAUCUUCAGGCUUAUUUUAAACGCUAAAAUGGAGAAGUCACGGGCGUGCAGCACAGUGCCUGGCACGGCAGACGCAUCCACGGCAAGGUACGACGCUCCGUACACUUCGGCAUAAAAGCACGUUUCAAACUCAGAGCAGAGCAUCACGUUUUAAGCGGCUUUUCGAAGACGCCACAAGUCAGUUUCUGAUGUUGCCAAAGAACUGGGAAGAAAAGGAGGUACAGUAUCCCAUUCGUCUUCACGUUGGAGCGAAGAAAAGAGAAGUCUGGGUUCACGAUGAGACGGCAAUAAUGCAGCGCAUUCACUCGCCAACUAAGGUGCCUUCUAGGGCUACGGUCUUUAUUAAAGGUUAAGAAAGGGGUUCUUGGGGUGCGGAGCCCUCCACUUCUCCUCUAUUCCACCCCUUCGCGUCCAUGUGUUACUCCUGCUUCAGUCCACAUGCUUUUGAAGGCAGAACUGCUUCUCGCUCAGAGGACCACCAAUGUGACAGGUGACAGACCCCAACACCCUGUCAUGUUCUAAUUCAGAAGUGACGUGUCCUUCUCUACCACCGUCUUGGGAGUGGGCGGUGCUGGGGAUGAGCUCAGUUCUACCCUCCUCCCUGCCCCAUCGGUCCACUUCUAACCUCUAGCCCCUGGGCUCCUGUCCCCCAAGGCUAGAUGUCAUACCGUCCCUUAUCUCCCAGCAUACUUCCACUCCCGGCUCUCGGGGGCCUUUUCGUUCCUCCUCCAGGUUCUGAGUUCUCUGGGCCUGAGGUCAGAACCUACAACACUGGGCAACGAGAUGCCCCUGGCCCCAGCCCGGCUGAGAACGACCGUGAGCACCGGGCCUGCUCGAUCUGAGGAACGGUCAGUCCAAGCCAACAACAGCGCGACCCGCUUAGCGACUUCGGUGUUUGCUAUGCUUAAACAGAGUCGCUUCUCGGGUGCUGCAUCUAAUAUGUCUCUCGAGUUAUAAACUGCCUAGAAGGUGAGGGAGAUUCGGUCGUAGCGCGUCUACCUUUCUCGGUCUCUUGGCUAAGUUCCGUCUGCCUCGGUUCCAGAAAUCCACAUAUGGAAAGAGAAGUUUCACACAGAGAGGCGUUUAUGUUUACAUAGUGAUUUAUAUACGACAUCCUCUGAGACCCUCGUCCGUGGAAGCCAGUGCUCAUCCAGAGCACGCGCUGGUACGGAGGGAAGGCCCUGUCGCAGAAGCACAGCCCUUGUCACCUUCCCUCUGCGGUUUCACGUGGAGAACAGCACCGAUAAAGACACGGUCCGGGUCGUGUGUGUGCGGCUAACUGGACGCAGCCGAGGGGAGCGGGAAGCCAAGCCACCCUUGCUUGGACAACUGCUCUCCCUUUUGCGGGUGGGCCAGCGUGUCAAGGCCUCGUAGCCCGUCCCAGCCUGGGACCUGGGAGCCACCCCACGACACGCAGCCUACACGAGAGGCGGAAUCCUCACCCACACGUGAGACCUCCCCAUCCAUCACCAAGCAGCCUGCUCGGUACACCAGGAAACGCCCACCGGGCUCAGUGCGAGUGCCUCGCAGCGGGGCGCGCUGCUGCUCGAGGCACCCGCACACCGCGGGGGCAUCGCGCGUGGUCCAGCGCGGCGCCUGGCGCCCGGGCUGUGGCUCGUGUCUCCUUUAAACAGCACAAGGAGCAUCUCCCGACACAGAGUAACCUUCGCAGGGGUCACUCUGAACACCGAUGGAUGCCAGAAGUUCAAAUAGAGAAGAUCUGGCCACGUCCGUGCAAGGAAUUGAAAACAGCGAUAAUGUGCUGAGCUCCCACCCUGUGCCACUAAAGCGGGCACGUCGUUUGCAAGGCUCACGUGGUGACACAGCUGCUAACAGGCGGUGCUGGGACCGAACCGAGUCUCAGGCUGCAAAGCCCAGGCUCCGUCUCCAGGCCACACAGCAGCCAGAGUUCCGCAGGCCCGCUCGCCGACUCCACAGAGCAAACCGUGUCGUCACACUGGGGACAAGCCCCCCCCAUCUAAAGCACGGUGUCUCUCAGACAGACAGUCGGCCUCCUGCCCGCAACCACGCAGGCUCCCAAAACACAGGGAGAGCGGUUAUAAGAUGUUUUUCUGCAAUGGAGGCGAAAUAACAAGAAACCCACUGCGGCCGCACUUACGAAGGGACCUUCCGAUGACUGCGCAUUCUCAGAAUAACCCGGCGCUCCCCGUGCAACGAUGGAUGGAAAAGACACUGAGAAAAGGUCAAUGUAAAAAGUUUUUUUUGUUUUUUUGUUUUUGCCUUAUUACCCUUUCCUAGCAGAGCAUGGGACUUUGAAAAAUCACCAUGAAAUUUAAAAAUUUCACCGUGAGACUGCAGUAAUUUCACUCCUUGAACGAUGCCCCAAGGAAGUCACCCGAACGAGAAAAAUAAUUUAGAAAACAGAAAUAUCAGGAAACCACACAAACUGGCCCAAGAGAAGAGUAGCUGAACAAACUAGAACACGCUAAUUUGAAGAAAUAAAAUCAAAUAGGUUUAAACGACAAUCCCGUGAUUAAAAGUACAUAGAACUGCUCACGUGGAGAGGUAAGAAAACUUAGAACAACAGAAAUAAAUUAGAGUUAUGCUGCUCUUUUGGGGAAGGUCCCCCUGCAAGCCUCACUCAGAAGCACCUGUGUGUUUUGCUCAGGUGGGGAACACAGGUGAGCCUGUGACCCUCUAAGGCCGUCAGCACAGAGCCAACACACGCCCCCAGGUCCUCCCCGCCGCCCGAGGCCCGGCUGUGCCUCGCGCGAGCACUGGCCUCCGAGUCUCCGGCUCAGCUUCCACCCAGAUGGUAUCUGGGUCAAGAAUACGUCCAGUGCCCACUCAGCACAUCUCUGUACGAAACUGUCUUCUCGUAAUGAUGAUGUGCUGGAUAAGGAAUCUUGCAAAACUGAUUGUUCAUGCAGCCAUGCAAAUAUUUAUUCAACAAAUAUGUCUGGAGCAUCUAGUGCAGACGGGGCAGCUUCACGCUAUCACAAUAUGGUGAGCACACAGGAGCGCGGGGCGUAACAAUAAAUAAACACAUUUAGUAAGAGGCCAGUGCUGGCCGGCGGUCCGAGGCAGGCAGGAACGAGCAGGGGGAUCGCGGGGUGUUUAGGGCCGUGACCCUACUCUGCCUGAUCCUGCCACAGCGGUGGGUACACAUGGCGGGUCGCAUGUUGGUCGACACCCAGACAACGCACAGCACCAAGGGCGGACCGCGACUCAUUUAAUCAUAACUCGUUGAUUGGUGCCUUGCUCAUGCACCGCACCAAUGCGGGGCGUUAAUAAACGGGGGGCCGGAGUCGGGGGGAGGCAGAAGCGUGGGUUCAUGGGCACUCUGUGCUCUGCUCGAUUUUUCUGUAAAGCAAAAACUGCUCAAAAAAAAAAAAAAAGAAAAGAGAAAAAAGAAAAAACCUAAAAAAACUAUGAAUUAGCAGAAGAAGAGGUUCCUUCACCCGGACGCUCCCCUCUUGGACAAACACCCCCUGGCACAGAGGAGACAAUGACACCAGCGAGAACUUACUUCCUGCUCUGUGGCUGGGAGCCUCGUACCCUAUCUUUUCUCAGGUGGCAUUUUAAACCCUUUGUUCCAUUCAGUCUGUCUGU